GAUGAAGAACGUAGCGAAAUGCGAUACUUGGUGUGAAUUGCAGAAUCCCGUGAACCAUCGAGUCUUUGAACGCAAGUUGCGCCCGAAGCCACUAGGCCGAGGGCACGCCUGCCUGGGCGUCACACGUCGUUGCCCCCCCAUCUACUCCUUCGGGAUUGCGGGGGGGCGGAUGAUGGCCUCCCGUGCGCCUAGCCGCGCGGUUGACAUAAAUACCAAGUCCUCGGCGACGCACGCCACGACAAUCGGUGGUUGCGAAACCUCGGUUGCCCGUCGUGUGCGUUCGUCGCGCAUCGAGGGCUCGAAAAAAUGCUCGGCUUCGGCUCGGCUUUCAACGCGACCCCAGGUCAGGCGGGGUUACCCGCUGAAUUUAAGCAUAUCAAUAAGCGGAGGA
rnacentral:misc_RNA from 1 species